rfam:Streptomyces sp. GKT 895 contig36, whole genome shotgun sequence.
CGGGCGGUGAACUCCCAGAUGGCGUCGGGGUCGAGCAGCGCCUGGUCGCCGAAGUAGGCGCCGUCGGCGAGGACUCCGAGGACGGCGUCGUCGCCGUAGGGACCCGUGCCGAUCUUCUCCACCUUGCCGUGCGCCAGCAGAUAGAUCUCGUCGGCCUGGCUGCCGAAGGAUGUGAGCACGUCACCGGGUGCGAACUCGCGCUGCUGGCAGCGGCGGGCGAGUUCGGUGAGCACCUCCUCGUCCUCGUAGGACCUGAGCGCCGGCAGUUCGCCCAGCUCCGCCGGGAUGACCUCGACGCGGUCGCCCGUCUUGACGAAGGUGACCCGGCCGUCCCCCACGGCGUAGGUCAGUCGGCGGUUGACGCGGUACGUACCACCCUGGACGUUCACCCAUGGCAGUGUGCGCAGCAGCCAGCGCGAGCUGAUCUCCUGCAUCUGGGGUGCGGACUUGGUCGUGGUGGCCAGGUUCCGCGCGGCUGCCGUGCCGAGACUCUGCUGCGGACGGCCCUG